GAUGAACGCUGACAGAAUGCUUAACACAUGCAAGUCAACUUGAACUUCGGUUUGGGUGGCGGACGGGUGAGUAACGCGUAAAGAACUUGCCUCACAGAUAGGGACAACAUUUGGAAACGAAUGCUAAUACCUGAUAUUAUGAUUUUAGGGCAUCCUAGGAUUAUGACAGCUAUAUGCGCUGUGAGAGAGCGUUGCGUCCCAUUAGCUAGUUGGAGAGGUAACGGCUCACCAAGGCGAUGAUGGGUAGCCGGCCUGAGAGGGUGAUCGGCCACAAGGGGACUGAGACACGGCCCUUACUCCUACGGGAGGCAGCAGUGGGGAAUAUUGGACAAUGGACCAAGAGUCUGAUCCAGCAAUUCUGUGUGCACGAUGAAGUUUUUCGGAAUGUAAAGUGCUUUCAGUUGGGAAGAAAAAAAUGACGGUACCAACAGAAGAAGUGACGGCUAAAUACGUG
rnacentral:rRNA from 1 species